UACGGAGGGUGCAAGCGUUAUCCGGAAUCACUGGGUUUAAAGGGUGCGUAGGCGGACUUUCAAGUCAGAGGUGAAAGCCUCCCGCUCAACGGGAGAAUUGCCUUUGAUACUGUUGGUCUUGAAUGUAGCUGAAGUGGGCGGAAUGAGUCGUGUAGCGGUGAAAUGCAUAGAUAUGACUCAGAACACCGAUUGCGAAGGCAGCUCACUAAACUACUAUUGACGCUGAGGAGCGAAAGCGUGGGGAGCAAACAGG
rnacentral:misc_RNA from 1 species